AUUGAACGCUGGCGGCAUGCCUUACACAUGCAAGUCGAACGGUAACAGGUCUUCGGAUGCUGACGAGUGGCGAACGGGUGAGUAAUACAUCGGAACGUGCCCGAGAGUGGGGGAUAACGAGGCGAAAGCUUUGCUAAUACCGCAUACGAUCUCAGGAUGAAAGCAGGGGACCGCAAGGCCUUGCGCUCACGGAGCGGCCGAUGGCAGAUGAGGUAGUUGGUGGGAUAAAAGCUUACCAAGCCGACGAUCUGUAGCUGGUCUGAGAGGACGACCAGCCACACUGGGACUGAGACACGGCCCAGACUCCUACGGGAGGCAGCAGUGGGGAAUUUUGGACAAUGGGCGCAAGCCUGAUCCAGCCAUUCCGCGUGCAGGAUGAAGGCCCUCGGGUUGUAAACUGCUUUUGUACGGAACGAAAAGGCUCUGGUUAAUACCUGGGGCUCAUGACGGUACCGUAAGAAUAAGCACCGGCUAACUACGUGCCAGCCGCCGCCGUAACAC
rnacentral:rRNA from 1 species